rnacentral:tRNA from 1 species
GGUAGGGUGGCCGAGAGUUAGGUGGCAGGCUGUAGUCCUGUUAACAUGGGUUUAAAUCCUAUUUCUACC